rnacentral:tRNA from 1 species
GCCCCGAUAGCAUAGUCGGUCUAAUGCGUCCGCCUCGUAAGCGGAAGAUCGGGGGUUCAAAUCCCCCUCGGGGCU